rnacentral:rRNA from 1 species
UGGGGAAUAUUGCACAAUGGGGGAAACCCUGAUGCAGCGACGCCGCGUGAGUGAAGAAGUAUCUCGGUACGUAAAGCUCUAUCAGCAGGGAAGAAAAUGACGGUACCUGACUAAGAAGCCCCGGCUAACUACGUGCCAGCAGCCGCGGUAAUACGUAGGGGGCAAGCGUUAUCCGGAUUUACUGGGUGUAAAGGGAGCGUAGACGGCAGCACAAGUCUGAAGUGAAAUGCCGGGGCUUAACCCCGGAACUGCUUUGGAAACUGUGCAGCUAGAGUGCAGGAGAGGUAAGUGGAAUUCCUAGUGUAGCGGUGAAAUGCGUAGAUAUUAGGAGGAACACCAGUGGCGAAGGCGGCUUGCUGGACUGUAACUGACGUUGAGGCUCGAAAGCGUGGGGAGCAAACAGG